rnacentral:RNase_P_RNA from 1 species
GGAGCAAGAUGGACGGUCGCACGACUUUCAAUUUAUUGAAAGAGUGAGGAAAGUCCGGACUCCAAAGAGCAAAGUGCUUCGUAACGCGAAGAAGAAGCAAUUCUAUGGAAAGUGCAGCAGAAAGUAAACAGCCUCUUUUUGAGGUAAUGGUGAAACGGUGAGGUAAGAGCUCACCAGUUGCGGAAGUGAUUUCGCAAGCUUUGUAAACCCCACUUGGAGCAAGGUCAAAUAGGAGAGCAGAAGUUGCUCGCUUUUAUUAACUCUCGGGUAGACCGCAAAGAGAUUUUUGGCAACAAAAAUUCAAGAUAAAUGACCGUUACUUGAUUUUAUCAAGAACAGAAUCCGGCUUAUAUUUUUGCUCCAGAU